rnacentral:rRNA from 1 species
GAUGAACGCUGGCGGCGUGCUUAACACAUGCAAGUCGAACGAAGCACUUUAUUUGAUUUCUUCGGAAUGAAGAUUUUGUGACUGAGUGGCGGACGGGUGAGUAACGCGUGGGUAACCUGCCUCAUACAGGGGGAUAACAGUUGGAAACGACUGCUAAUACCGCAUAAGCGCACAGGGUCGCAUGACCUGGUGUGAAAAACUCCGGUGGUAUGAGAUGGACCCGCGUCUGAUUAGCCAGUUGGUGGGGUAACGGCCUACCAAAGCGACGAUCAGUAGCCGACCUGAGAGGGUGACCGGCCACAUUGGGACUGAGACACGGCCCAAACUCCUACGGGAGGCAGCAGUGGGGAAUAUUGCACAAUGGGGGAAACCCUGAUGCAGCGACGCCGCGUGAGCGAAGAAGUAUUUCGGUAUGUAAAGCUCUAUCAGCAGGGAAGAAGAAA